rnacentral:misc_RNA from 1 species
GAUGAAGAACGCAGCGAAAUGCGAUAAGUAGUGUGAAUUGCAGAAUUCAGUGAAUCAUCGAAUCUUUGAACGCACAUUGCGCCCCCUGGCAUUCCGGGGGGCAUGCCUGUUCGAGCGUCAUUACAACCCUCAAGCUCUGCUUGGUAUUGGGCUCUGCUGGGACCGGCAGGCCUUAAAAUCAGUGGCGGCGCCACUCGGCUUCAAGCGUAGUAAUUCUUCUCGCUUCGGAGACCCGGGUGCGUGCUAGCCAGCAACCCCCAACUUUCUUAGGUUGACCUCGGAUCAGGUAGGGAUACCCGCUGAACUUAAGCAUAUCAAUAAGCGGAGGA